UGUGCUUGAGAGGAGGAAGAAGAAGGAUGAAGAAGAGGAAGAAGAAGAAUCCCCACGCAGCCUUCUUUCUUUUCCCUGCGUUGGAAGGAAGAAGGGAGGAAGAGGAUGCCGCCAACACCUUUGGCUUUUAUCUUCCUUGCUUGCGGCUGAACCAAGAGGAGAGGAGAGGGAGGCGUACGGCAAGGAGGAAGAGGACUUCUUC
rnacentral:lncRNA from 1 species